rnacentral:rRNA from 1 species
AUUGAACGCUGGCGGCAGGCCUAACACAUGCAAGUCGAGCGAGCGGCGGACGGGUGAGUAAUGUAUGGGGAUCUGCCUGAUGGAGGGGGAUAACUACUGGAAACGGUAGCUAAUACCGCAUACCAUCAGAUGAACCCAUAUGGGAUUAGCUUGUAGGUGGGGUAACGGCUCACCAAGGCUACGAUCCCUAGCUGGUCUGAGAGGAUGACCAGCCACACGGGGACUGAGACACGGUCCAGAGUCCUAGGGGAGGCAGCAGUGGGGAAUAUUGCACAAGGGGCGCAAGCCGGAUGCAGCCAGGCCGCGUGUAGGAAGAAGGCCUUCGGGUUGUAAAGGACUUUCAGUGGGGAGGCGUUACCGACAGAAGAAGCACCGGCUAACUCCGUGCCAGCAGCCGCGGUAAUAC